rnacentral:rRNA from 1 species
UACGUAGGGUGCGAGCGUUAAUCGGAAUUACUGGGCGUAAAGCGUGCGUAGGUGGUUCGUUGUGUCUGUGGUGAAAGCCCCGGGCUUAACCUGGGAAUGGCCAUGGAAACUGGCGAGCUGGAGUCUGGCAGAGGGGGGUGGAAUUCCGCGUGUAGCAGUGAAAUGCGUAGAGAUGCGGAGGAACACCGAUGGCGAAGGCAGCCCCCUGGGCUAAGACUGACGCUGAGGCACGAAAGCGUGGGGAGCAGACAGG